UACGAAGGGGGGCUAGCGUUGUUCGGAUUUACUGGGCGUAAAGCGCACGUAGGCGGAUUGUUAAGUCAGGGGGUGAAAUCCCGGAGCUCAACUCCGGAACUGCCUUUUGAUACUGGCAAUCUUGAGGCUGGAAGAGGUUAGUGGAAUUCCCAGUGUAGAGGUGAAAUUCGUAGAUAUUAGGAAGAACACCAGUGGCGAAGGCGGCUCACUGGCCCGGUACUGACGCUGAGGCGCGAAAGCGUGGGGGAGCAAACAGG
rnacentral:rRNA from 1 species